ACGAGGAUGAAGGAGUGGGCCGGUACCCUCCGCCAAAUCGACUGUGUGGUGGCGGCCCGCCGGGACCUCUCUCAGCUCGCUCGCGGUUCAACUCUCUCUGACGUUGAGGAGAGGACUGAAACGACGGCUUUGCAGAGGAACGAUUCCUGCAAGAAACAGAAGAAAAAAAAACUAUUUAGAAGAAGAAUCAAAUUUCUUUUUAUCUUCCCAGGGUGCUGUUAUUUCACUGUGUACAUAAAUGUAACAAUUUGUAAAAAUUUAAGUAUUUUCAUGAAUAAGAUAAGAUAAAUGACUUAUGCUGGUCA